CUGAAAAACUCUUACAUCUAAACGGGAAAGGCGCCUCCUGGUUUUCUUGUGGAUCCAGACUACAGACCCUUGUUCUCCAGGCUUAGAGAAGUUAAAAAAAAGAAUUCUGACAAGUGUCGUGUAAGUCACGUUGGAGGAUAUGCCCUAUGAUUGAAAAGGAUGUUCUUCUGGGCAUGAGCUAUGGUGGAGCAUGCAUCAUCAUACAGAUCACAUAUAUGAAGAAGAUCUGCACCUUUCCAUACAUCUUCCAACAGAAAAAUCUCAUCUAGAAACCUGCUUCUCCCCUGAAUCAAAACAACUCAAUGUGUACACUCCCACAUUCAGGUUAAAAAUUCCUUGGACUUCUGCCUGGCUAUCUCGAAUUUUUGUCUCUGUGUACAUUUGAAAUAAAAUAAA